CUUUUGGGAGGAAGGAAUAGCGAUAAGUAUACAGUUUCAUGACCUUUUUCUUUCCUGUUCAGAAACUGAAUCGGAAGCUUUUGCAUAUAAGCAUUGAGCUAGUUUUCAUGCUUUGCUGGCCAUUAUUCAGUUCUGGGUUUCGUGGAGCAAUUUUAGUAGCUGUUACUCCUGGUAUCAACAUUAUGCGGAUGUUGUGACUGCACGAUUUCUCAUUGAGCUUUAUUGUUUUAGUAUGAUUUGUAUCCUAUUCUUUCACUUUUUUAAAUUUACUUUUACUGGUUACGCAUGAUUGUUGCAGUGGUGAAGAACUCUGAUAUCGCAUUUUUUAAUCUACUGGGGAAUGUGGCAGUUUUGACUGAAGGAAAUCUUUCAGAACUAAUUUACAACUUUCUUUGCUUUCUUAGUAAAAAAAAUUGUGGCAUGGGAAGGCACACAUUCCUCGUGCAUCCCAAGUCCGAGGACUAUCGAAGCUGGCUGCUUAUUCGAUAUCUAUCAUGGAUGGAAAACGUGCUCUACGGUUAUAUAUCAUUCAUGGAUGGCAUAACAAUGGGCUUUGGAGUUGGCCUAUCUGGUCUGG